GACGAACGCUGGCGGCGUGCUUAACACAUGCAAGUCGAGCGGUAAGGCCCUUUCGGGGGUACACGAGCGGCGAACGGGUGAGUAACACGUGGGUGACCUGCCCUCAGCUCUGGGAUAAGCCUGGGAAACCGGGUCUAAUACUGGAUAUGACUCCAUGACGCAUGUUGUGGGGUGGAAAGCCUUGUGCGGCUGAGGAUGGGCCCGCGGCCUAUCAGCUUGUUGGUGGGGUGANGGCCUACCAAGGCGACGACGGGUAGCCGGCCUGAGAGGGCGACCGGCCACACUAGGACUGAGACACGGCCCAGACUCCUACGGGAGGCAGCAGUGGGGAAUCUUGCGCAAUGGGCGAAAGCCUGACGCAGCGACGCCGCGUGAGGGAU
rnacentral:rRNA from 1 species